UGAACGCUGGCGGCAUGCUUUACACAUGCAAGUCGAACGGCAGCGGGGGCUUCGGCCUGCCGGCGAGUGGCGAACGGGUGAGUAAUGCAUCGGAACGUGCCCAUGUCGUGGGGGAUAACGUAGCGAAAGCUACGCUAAUACCGCAUACGUCCUGAGGGAGAAAGCGGGGGAUCGCAAGACCUCGCGCGAUUGGAGCGGCCGAUGUCGGAUUAGCUAGUUGGUGGGGUAAAGGCCCACCAAGGCGACGAUCCGUAGCGGGUCUGAGAGGAUGAUCCGCCACACUGGGACUGAGACACGGCCCAGACUCCUACGGGAGGCAGCAGUGGGGAAUUUUGGGCAAUGGGGGCAACCCUGAUCCAGCCAUUCCGCGUGAGUGAAGAAG
rnacentral:rRNA from 1 species